GCCUGGUUGGCUCAGUCGGUAGAGUGUACAGCUCUCAACCUCAGGGUCGUGAGUUCAAGCCCCAUAUUGGGCA
rnacentral:tRNA from 1 species